UAAAAAGUAAGAUUUCUCCCUCCUAUUUUAAGGAAGAUUCCAGGCUUGUUGCCUCAUGGGGCAGCAGCAUUGGGAGCCGUGUGGCAUAAGGGAAAGAUUGCUCAAAGCCCAUGUGAAGCAAUGAGAAGCCUAGGGGGCUACACCAGAAGUAAAGUGCAGGCCUGAUCCAGUGGGUGUCUUGUAUUUAUUAGCAUCAAGCACAAAGGUGGGAACCCGAGGAGACUAGACCAGAGCCAGAGAAGAGUGAAAAAUGUGUAAUGGAGAUUUAAAAUCCGUCACAUAAAGAAGAUCUGGAAGAAAUGAGUUGCUGCCCAGAGGAUAAUGGAGAAUCACAAGCACUGUCACAAAUUUGCAUUUCAACUUUCCUUGUUGAGUGAUGGACUUCCUACUAUUCCAUUCAACUGAUACUAGACCCCAGGGGAUUGAGCCUAGAGAAAUACUUGAUGCCACGAUUUUCAGAAGAACCUGCAUCUCUGGGCUGGUGGAUGGAGUGCAGGAGGGACCCUGAGAACAGAAGUUUCUGAUAAUGGUCAAAGACAGAACAUAAGGAGCCACUUGGAAUGGUGCAGAGAAAUGUCCUGGGGACAGGGGAUUCUCCACCUCCCCCGGUAAGGUCACUCCCACUUUCUGCUUUAAAAGUGGGUUUUGCAGAACAGGAGUGGGGGGUG